AGGAAGACUUAAAAGUACUUUAGACCAAUCAAUGCAUGUUUUGGAACAGCAGGCUUAUACUUACCAUAGUGGAGCUAGGUUAAUUUUUACCUGUGUCUUUUUCUGUCACUUGAAUAUGUAACAACCAAGCACCUAGUGCAUGUGGUGUAAAGGAACAACCAUUUUUGUUACAACAUGGCCCUUUGCUUAAAUGGCUGGGCCAAUGCCACAGACCUCACUCAAGCCUGUCACAUAGAAAAGAGGGAAGUUUGAAGAGCCCCUGGUGGCUGGGCCAAACAUUGAGCACAGCACAAUCACUUAGAUGGGUUUUUUAAAACAAGUUUUCUAUAUUUCCAUCAGUUUUCUUAUUUCUGUAACAAGACAAUAUUGAGGUAUCUCUUCAGUCAUUUGAGUUACUGAGAAUAUAAUGUCUUUUUCUUUUCAAACAAUGUCUGGUCAUUAAUUCUCAAAAUAAAAAAGUUUUUUUUGUCUUUAACUGCAGUUAAUUUCAACUUGUUGCUGCGUUCAGUCUUAUGUAUUUAUAUUGUAUUCUGCGUAACACUUUUCAAUCAUGUUGUGUCUCACUGUCCCCAAACUUAGCUCUUUAAUAUUUUAUAGUCAUUAAUCUUCUAUCUUUUUUUUUUUUUUUUUAGUUUCUAGAUAUUUUCGGUGACUAAAACUAAAUGCCAGUCAAUUUUUAUAUGCCUGAAGUGUUGGUUUGUAUUUUCUAUGUGCAGUUUUAUGAAAUCACAUGGGUGUGUUUGAUCUGCCUUUACAUCCUAGUGGACUAUUGAAGUCCAGAUUAAGACCAAAUGGGACCUGGUUCCAUGCUCUAGAUCCACAGACAAUUCCCAUUCAAGACAAUGAUGUUGUUCUGGCAAGACUGAGGUCUGUCAUGUUCCUUCUGUGUGCUUUUUCUCCCAGGUGACCCUUAGGCUUUGGAAAAGCCCCUUAGACCUGUGCUACUUGAUGGAAAGGGAGGAGUCCAGCCAUACAGAACCUAUUGCAGGAACUGAGAUAAAUAUCAUGCAAACCUAAUUCUGGCCUAUUAAAAUCACUAGAAAUUUAAAAUUAGUAAAGUCAAGGCCUCAAUUCUUGCAAAAAUGAAUUUCCCCUGAAACCAAUGUGAGUCUGGUGGAAGAAGGGAUUGAUUGAAAUCUAAAUGAGAAGAAUGAUAGUCUCUGCCUCUUGAAGAAAAUCAACAGAAGCUUUAACUAUAUGAAUCAGAUUAAAGACCAGGCCCUUAUUUGCUGCUGUAUUUUAAAUGUUUUCAGAGAAGCACAUUUAUUUUGAAAGAAACGCAAUUCACUUUGUUAACAGAUGCUUUAUUUUUUUUAAAUACUGGAAGCAAAAUUAUUAAGCUUUAGAAAUGCUUUUGGUAUAAUUUUGGUAUCUACUUUUGACUAUGUUGAAAACUAUUUCCAGAAGCAUAGAUUUAGACGUGGUUUUUCCAGUCUUGACUGCAUAUAAAGGAUCCACCUCUGAAUAUCUAACUUGUAUAAUUUCUGAUUAAAACAUCUCCUUGAGCAGUUGCAGGACUGGAUCUAGCUUUCUGUCCAGUACAGCAGGUGUAAGAAGUGCAGGCUGGGAUCACGUCAUUCAUCAUGGGUUGAUAUGCAGCAAAUUAUGCAAAAUUACACAAGUAUAUUUUUUUAUUUUCUAAAACUUAGAAGCCAUUUUGGACUUAUUACCCAUUCACUACAGUAAGAGGAGAAUGUGUCUGAGUUCUGGGGUCAGUCUCUAAUGCCAGACGUGCAACUUAAGGAGUCUUAGGAAGAAGUGACUCUUUUGUGCACCUGAAAGGGGUCUGACUCCUCGCAUCACUGGAAAAUGAAGAAUGUUCAGGAAGACAGCUUUGCAAUUGAUCUAUUUUUUAUAUUUUUUACUAACUGCAGAAUCAUGAAUCAAAGUUUUAAUUCCUUUUCAAUGAUGAAACCAAAUGCACAUAUUUUAAAAAUGUUCACAGAGUAAUUAGAAGAGUUUUUGAGUAAUAGUCACAUUAAUCCAAAUCUGGGUGGGGAGUAGGGGGUAGGGGGGAAUAAUAUCUUGCACAAACUGCAAAGGAAGUUCCUAUAGGAAAGCUGUUUACAGGGGAAGUAUGUAAUGUAAAGAAUGUAACAAGGUGUAGGAAGUUUUUGCACUACCGAAUUUAUAUAAAAUACACUUUUUUAAAUGAAAACACAAAAGGCCUUUUAAUGCUACAUUGUAUAGACUAUAGAAACCUCUGUGCUAUUGCAGCAAUUUAAUGCACUGUGUCCUCACUUUACAAUUGGUCUCAAAAUUCAAACAUUAGUGAUGUUAGAGAGGUGAUAUCUGAUCUAACACUAGAGCAAUGGACAUGAAGAGCCUUUUAGCACACUAUUAUGUAACUCAAAAUGUGUACAGACAGUUUUUGCCUACAGCAUUUAUACAUCUAAAUGACAAUUGGCUUAAUGAGUCAUUUCAUAACAGGUAAUACCGGUCAAUGUAUUUGUAUUCCUUGAAAAACAAUGAGUUAUUUUAAAAGCACACCUCUUCCCUUCCAUGUUGACUGAGCUUCUGUUUCUUUCAAGGUUUACGUUCAAGUUAUUUAAUUAAUUGCUUCAACCUCAUCUCUAAACCACAGUCCAAUAAAAAAGACAGUUGUCUUCUUGAAGCUCUAUUGCACAUAGUCAAACUGGUAGAAAUGUCCAGGGUUUUACUGAUUGGCUUUUUGAUUUGAAUAAUGUUUUAAUCACUUGGAUAGCAAAUAUAUAUUUUGAUCAUAAAAACAUAUAUUAGAAGCAAAAUAAUGCAGUACGCCUUUUUUUUUUUCUAAGUAGCCAGCUGAGAUCAAGCAAGAAAUUCAAAAACAACAAAGGGGGAAACAAGGCAGAAAACUGUAAGUAAACAAGGCAUGUUUUAGUGUACUAUAUUAAAAGAGACAUAAUAAAACAUAUGUAAAAGAAUCCUUGUUCACACUAAAUAAGGUAAAAAAGCCAGUAGCAAAAGAUUUAAUUCCGCUCUUCCAUUGUAAUUUUUAACAUAGAACUAACAGGUUCACUGAUGCUAUUACCCACUCACCUGCCAAAAGAAUAUCUGAUCCGUAAUCAUUUUUCAGAAGACUUUCCUGAAAAAUAAGAUAUUAUGUGUUGGGAUUUUUAUUGAUCUUUGGAUCUCUUCCCAUUUCCCUCCCAAUAUCAAUCUUCUCUUCUUCUUGGGAGUGGUCAGAAGACAACCCACCCAACAAGAUGAUAGGAGUGUCUUAAUUGUCAGGAAAGUGUUUUGGUAGUGUGGUGAAAAUGGCCAGAUGCUGCAUUUGAACCAAGGAACAAGAACUGAGUGUCACUUCUCCCCGUUUUCUAGUUGUAAAGUGCUCUGAAUUCUCCAGUGUCCCCAAAGCAUACCCAUUCUUCAUGGAAAAGCUUUCGGUGCUCUUGCAAGAACUUUUUUAAAAGCAGUUGACUGGUAAAUGCUGUUAAGAGAGCUAUCGAUCUAAGUUUGAAUAUUUGUCUUUUGUCCAACCUGGUUUUAUUAGUGGUGCUCAGCUUUAACUCCAGCUGAAAUGCUUUCUGAAACAGAUCAGGUGUUCGGGAGUCAAACCUUUUGCAGGUCCUUUGUCAGUUUCCUUAACAAAGCAAGGUUAGGUAAAUGGUAGGCAAAAAUGAAAGAAAAAAUUUUGUUUGCAUUGUGUGAUGGUUUCUUGUUCAGUGAUCAUACACCAUGGGACAUCUGCAAGUGGGGUACAUGUAUUUGUAUUUAUUUUGUUCCAGGUUUAAACAGUUUUUCUUUUAAAUGCUGACUUACGAUAUUUAGGAAGUAUUACCCCUUAGUAAAAUGGAAAUUUCUUCCAAAACAACAGUGAUACUUUCUAAUUCUAUAAUAUUAUUGUUGAUAUUUAGGGUUUUAUGACACCUAACGCAGAUUCUGAUGAAUACCACUGUGGAACAAGGAAGUAGCACACAAAUAUUACUACUCUUUUUACUCAAAAGUAAUUAAAAAAUAUGGUAUUAGCUAAUGUUUAAUCAAAAAAUAAUUAUACCUAUGAACUAAAGAGAAUGGCGACCUGUCGUUACCUCAGACAUUGACUGUAGUCCUGUGAUUAACAUAAACCAUGAAUCUAAUAGCAGUCUGUAUAAUUCAUUUUAUUAGGGUAAUUUUUUAACUCAAAUAACUAUUUAAAUACAUAUUUAGCAUCAGCAGGAACAAUGUACACUUCUAAAUCUGGAAGUCUAUGGAUACGUUUACACUGGCAUCUUAGAGAAAACCAGGAGCAAUCUCUUGACAUCUCAGCUACCCCCACUUCUCAUGCUUUGGUUCAAUAACCGAACAAUCCUGCACUGUAGGGAGAGCAUCCUUCCCAACACUGCACCAUGCAAAUUGGACUACUUUUAGGUGAAGUUGAACCAGAAAUCUUCUUCCAUGAUGGCACCAGCUAUGCUGCAGGCAGGACAAAGCAUUCAGGCCCUGAUACCAGAUGACAGCAAGUCCAAAAAUUGUACCCCAAUAAUGUAUACUGUCAGUACAAACGGUUGCCUUCAACAAAUCUCCUGGUAUUGUACAACUUGCUAAUGUAGACGUAGAUGGCUACUGUCUUCUAGAGCCCAUGUAGCUCUUGGCUAAAUCACUUAAUCAAGCAAAUGUUGCCAUUUUCAGCAGUGGUAUUACAUAAAAAAGCAAUAUGUUGCCUAAGAUUAAAUUGUUCCCAGUGUGUUCCCCAAGUUAACCCAAGUAAAAUCUUUAAACAAAAAAUUAUUGAUAACCAUUGGAUAGUUGUGUUUCAUAGUUUGGACCAAACUCUAUAUACUGCAUAUUUCUACAGUGAAUUUACUCUAAAGUUGGUGUUACAUAUGAUGAAGACAGUACAGACAGCACUAGACUUACUCCAAAAUCAGUGGAAUGAUUAAACUGAUUGCAAGGAGCUUUAUUUCACUUAACAGUAACCCUUACUUUAUACUAGUAUGAAUAAAAGCAAAUUGCUGUGCAUUGAUGGAGGAUCAGAAGCCCAGCUUGACUAUUUUGUGCCGAUUUGCCAUGUCGAGAUAUCUUCCUAUUUGGAUCACCAGCUGAAAUUUAUUUAAAUUGAGGAACUAGUAGGGUUUUGGUUGUGUGCUUUGUUGCUCUGAUGUCUGGGAUGUACCUUGUACAGUAAUGCAAGGAACAAAAAAGCCUGUUCCUUAUCUUACUUAUUUUAAUCAUUUCAAGGUGGAGUACAUAAAUCUUGUAGUGGUAUUUUUGCUCUAAGUUUUACUCAGAUAGCAUCUCUCUGUGAAGGUUCAGAAUACAAAACAUUUAUGCCUGUCCUUGAAGUCCUUAAGCAGAAUGCCAGUGGGAAUUCUGCCUGUAUAAAACUGAAGGAUGGAGCAAUAUAUUAUAGUGUUACGCAAAACAGUUUCUAACACGUUACUAAAUACAUUAAAAAAGAAAUUUAAAAAAAACUGUUGGGGACAAUCAUGAAUACUUCUGCUAGGAUGCAGAGUUCUGGAUUCAUAUGUCUAAAUUAUCAGAGUUCUGCAGAGUUUUACUUGUGCAACUCUUUCAAAAAUCAAAGGAGCCAUGCUGAUAAACUGAAACAUGGAGGGAUUAGUGUACAAAGAAGCUGAGCAUUGAAAACAUAGCCUACUGCUUUAAGAUCACUGUAAAUAUCAAAUUAAAUAUGUACUGAUUCAUGUUUCUAUGUUAUUACUGUGUUAGUUUCAUAGAUACAGUAGCAUGACUAUUAUUAGUUUUAUGGAGUUUAAUGAACUUUCUUUGUAUUCCUCUGUGAAUGCUCUGAAUGCUGCAAACAAAAAAAGCACAACAGUAUUUUUUCAAGUUCUCUUGGGGCAAUAGCAGUGUCUUCACUAUUGUUCAGUUUUACAGAUUUAGCAACAUUUCAUCAUACAUUGCUCUGUUAAUAACGUAUCUUUCUUUAAAAGUACUGUCACUAGGAGAUAAAAGCAUAUGUGAUAAGUCUUGUCUAAUCUCAUUCAUCUGCCUUUACAAAAUGCCCCAGAUAUUUUGUGGGAGAAUAUGCUGCUUUUGCUUCAUGCAUUGUUUGUAUUUGGGGUGGGGCAGGGGAAUAAUAGGGCAUUUUGCAAUGGUAAUUGCAUCAAACAUGCUUUUUUCAUUAUUAUUGUAUUUGUUAGAAACAUUUUGAUUUAGUUUCUUUCUGUAGAUAAAACUUUGACAAUAGCUUUAUUUUUUCAACUAACCAUUUGAUUUCAUUAGACUAAUAACUUCUCACAUUUAGUGGUAUUCGUAUCAAUGUUUCCAUAUCAGCUGCAUUUUAACUUCAUAAAAAAGGAAAUGUGAUUAUUAUUUUUGUCAUACUAGAUUUUGCUGAUCAACUAAGUAUCCCUGCACCAAUCUACAUAUUAAUAUGCAUGUUGUAGUCUGUACAAUUGUUCAACAUCAAAAUAUCUGUUUAAUUUAUGUCAAAUGUCUUUAAAAUAAAUGCAUUGUUCUCCAUUUCAGUCUGAUAGAAUAAGCAGGAUAGUAAAUAAAUGUGUAA
ensembl:lncRNA